rnacentral:rRNA from 1 species
AUUGAACGCUGGCGGCAUGCCUUACACAUGCAAGUCGAACGGCAGCGGACCUUCGGGUGCCGGCGAGUGGCGAACGGGUGAGUAAUGCAUCGGAACGUACCUUUCAGUGGGGGAUAACGUAGCGAAAGUUACGCUAAUACCGCAUAUUCUGUGAGCAGGAAAGCAGGGGAUAGCAAGACCUUGGGCUGAUUGAGCGGCCGAUGUCAGAUUAGCCAGUGGGUGAGGUAAAGGCUCACCCAGGCGACGAUCUGUAGCGGGUCUGAGAGGAUGAUCCGCCACACUGGGACUGAGACACGGCCCAGACUCCUACGGGAGGCAGCAGUGGGGAAUUUUGGACAAUGGGGGCAACCCUGAUCCAGCCAUGCCGCGUGAGUGAAGAAGGCCUUCGGGUUGUAAAGCUCUUUCGGCCGGGAAGAAAUCGCACAGGCUAAUACCUUGUGUGGAUGACGGUACCGGAAUAAGAAGCACCGGCUAACUACGUGCCAGCAGCCGCAGUAAUAC